GAUGAACGCUGGCGGCGUGCUUAACACAUGCAAGUCGAACGAAGCAUUUGCGACAGAUUUUUUCGGAAUGAAGUUGCUUAUGACUGAGUGGCGGACGGGUGAGUAACGCGUGGGUAACCUGCCUUGUACUGGGGGAUAGCAGCUGGAAACGGCUGGUAAUACCGCAUAAGCGCACAAUGUUGCAUGACAUGGUGGGAAAAACUCCGGUGGCAUAAGAUGGACCCGCGUCGGAUUAGCUAGUUGGUGAGAUAACAGCCCACCAAGGCGACGAUCAGUAGCCGACCUGAGAGGGUGACCGGCCACAUUGGGACUGAGACACGGCCCAGACUCCUACGGGAGGCAGCAGUGGGGAAUAUUGCACAAUGGAGGAAACUCUGAUGCAGCGACGCCGCGUGAGUGAAGAGGUAAUUCGUUAUGUAAAGCUCUAUCAGCAGGGAAGAUAGUGACGGUACCUGACUAAGAAGCUCCGGCUAAAUACGUG
rnacentral:rRNA from 1 species